GACGAAGGAUGCAAGCGUUAUCCGGAUUCAUUGGGUUUAAAGGGAGCGUAGGUGGACUUGUAAGUCAGUGGUGAAAUCUUUGGGCUUAACCCAGAAAACUGCCAUUGAUACUGCAGGUCUAGAGUACAGUUGCCGUUGGCGGAAUAUGACAUGUAGUGGUGAAAUACUUAGAUAUGUCAUAGAACACCGAUUGCGAAGGCAGCUAACGAAGCUGUAACUGACACUGAGGCUCGAAAAGUGCGGGGAUCAAACAGG
rnacentral:rRNA from 1 species